ACAGUAGGCCGGUUUGUCGCUGGCUGCCUUCGGGCAGAAAGAGGAAAGUCCGGGCAACACAGAGCAUCGUAUUUCUUAAUGGGAAGCUGUUCGUGAGGGCAGAGUAAGGUAACAGAAAAUAACCGCCUUUGACGAGGUAAGGGUGAAAAGGUGAGGUAAGAGCUCACCGGUCUGUAUAGCGAUAUGCAGAGCCGUACCACUUGCGAGUUGUAAGACCAUGUAUACCGGCGCAUGUAGGAUUGCUCGUCCGAUGCCGGGGGGUAGGUCGCUAGAGCCUGUUGGCGACAACAGGCGUAGAUAAAUGGCAAACACUCCUCUUGGGAGUACAGAACCCGGCUUACAGGCUUACUGUUUUU
rnacentral:RNase_P_RNA from 1 species